rnacentral:rRNA from 1 species
UACAGAGGGUGCAAGCGUUAAUCGGAAUUACUGGGCGUAAAGGGUGCGUAGGUUGCGAUAUAAGUUGGGUGUGAAAGCCCCGGGCUUAACCUGGGAACUGCAUUCAAGACUGUAUUGCUAGAGUAGGAUAGAGGGAAGUGGAAUUUCCGGUGUAGCGGUGAAAUGCGUAGAUAUCGGAAGGAACAUCAGUGGCGAAGGCGGCUUCCUGGAUCCAUACUGACACUGAGGCACGAAAGCGUGGGUAGCAAACAGG